AUUGAACGCUGGCGGCAGGCCUAACACAUGCAAGUCGAGCGGAUGAAGGGAGCUUGCCCCGGGAUUCAGCGGCGGACGGGUGAGUAAUGCCUAGGAAUCUGCCCGGUAGUGGGGGAUAACGUCCGGAAACGGGCGCUAAUACCGCAUACGUCCUGAGGGAGAAAGUGGGGGAUCUUCGGACCUCACGCUAUCAGAUGAGCCGAGGGCGGAUUAGCUAGUUGGUGGGGUAAAGGCCUACCAAGGCGACGAUCCGUAACUGGUCUGAGAGGAUGAUCAGUCACACUGGAACUGAGACACGGUCCAGACUCCUACGGGAGGCAGCAGUGGGGAAUAUUGGACAAUGGGCGAAAGCCUGAUCCAGCCAUGCCGCGUGUGUGAAGAAGGUCUUCGGAUUGUAAAGCACUUUUAGUUGGGACGAAGGGCAGUAAGUUAAUACCUUGCUGUUUUGACGUUACCCGCAGAAUAAGCACCGGCUAACUACGUG
rnacentral:rRNA from 1 species